UGGGGAAUAUUGCACAAUGGAGGGAACUCUGACGCAGCGACGCCGCGUGAACGAAGAAGGCUUUCGAGUCGUAAAGUUCUUUUAUAUGGGAAGAUAAUGAUGGUACCAUAAGAAAAAGCACCGGCUACCUACGUGCCAGCAGCCGCGGUAAUACGAAGGCGGCUAGCGCUGUCCGGAAUCACUGUGCGUAAGGGGUUCGCAGGCGGAAAUGCAAGUCAGGUGUAAAGGGCAGUAGCUGAACUACUGUAAGCAUUUGAAACUGCAUAUCUUGAGAAGAGUAGAGGUAAAUGGAAUUUUUAGUGUAUCGGUGAAAUGCGUAGAUAUUAGAAAGAAUACCGGUGGCGAAGGCGACUUACUGGGCUCAUUCUGACGCUGAGGAACGAAAGCGUGGGUAGCAAACAGG
rnacentral:rRNA from 1 species